rnacentral:rRNA from 1 species
GGACCGCUCGUUUUACAGCCUCACACAUGCAAGUCGAGCGGAUGACGGGAGCUUGCUCCUUGAUUCAGCGGCGGACGGGUGAGUAAUGCCUAGGAAUCUGCCUGGUAGUGGGGGACAACGUUUCGAAAGGAACGCUAAUACCGCAUACGUCCUACGGGAGAAAGCAGGGGACCUUCGGGCCUUGCGCUAUCAGAUGAGCCUAGGUCGGAUUAGCUAGUUGGUGGGGUAAUGGCUCACCAAGGCGACGAUCCGUAACUGGUCUGAGAGGAUGAUCAGUCACACUGGAACUGAGACACGGUCCAGACUCCUACGGGAGGCAGCAGUGGGGAAUAUUGGACAAUGGGCGAAAGCCUGAUCCAGCCAUGCCGCGUGUGUGAAGAAGGUCUUCGGAUUGUAAAGCACUUUAAGUUGGGAGGAAGGGCAGUAAGUUAAUACCUUGCUGUUUUUGACGUUACCGACAGAAUAAGCACCGGCUAACUCUGUGCCAGCAGCCGCGGUAAUACAGAGGGUGCAAGCGUUAAUCGGAAUUACU